AUUGAACGCUGGCGGCAGGCCUAACACAUGCAAGUCGAGCGGAUGAAGGGAGCUUGCUCCUGGAUUCAGCGGCGGACGGGCGAGUAAUGCCUAGGAAUCUGCCUGGUAGUGGGGGAUAACGUCCGGAAACGGGCGCUAAUACCGCAUACGUCCUGAGGGAGAAAGUGGGGGAUCUUCGGACCUCACGCUAUCAGGUGAGCCUAGGUCGGAUUAGCUAGUUGGUGGGGUAAAGGCCUACCAAGGCGACGAUCCGUAACUGGUCUGAGAGGAUGAUCAGUCACACUGGAACUGAGACACGGUCCAGACUCCUACGGGAGGCAGCAGUGGGGAAUAUUGGACAAUGGGCGAAAGCCUGAUCCAGCCAUGCCGCGUGUGUGAAGAAGGUCUUCGGAUUGUAAAGCACUUUAAGUUGGGAGGAAGGGCAGUAAGUUAAUACCUUGCUGUUUUGACGUUACCAACAGAAUAAGCACCGGCUAACUUCGUG
rnacentral:rRNA from 1 species